GACGAACGCUGGCGGCGUGCUUAACACAUGCAAGUCGAACGGAAAGGCCCUGCUUGCAGGGUGCUCGAGUGGCGAACGGGUGAGUAACACGUGGGUGAUCUGCCCCUUACUUUGGGAUAAGCCUGGGAAACUGGGUCUAAUACUGGCUAGGACCAUGCUGUAGGUGGUGUGGUGGAAAGAUUAGUUUCGGUAAGGGAUGAGCUCGCGGCCUAUCAGCUUGUUGGUGGGGUAAUGGCCUACCAAGGCGUCGACGGGUAGCCGGCCUGAGAGGGUGGACGGCAAAAUGGGGGCGGGAAGACGGCCAGGACUCGACGGGAGGCAGCAGUGGGGAAUAUUGCACAAUGGGCGCAAGCCGGAUGCAGCGACGCCGCGUGGGGGAUGACGGCCUUCGGGUUGUAAACUCCUUUCAGCCAUGACGAAGCCCUUGUGGUGACGGUAGUGGUAGAAGAAGCACCGGCUAACUACGUG
rnacentral:rRNA from 1 species